UGUAUAUUGUAUGUGUGUGUGUUGAGGUGUAUGUGUAUAUUGUAUGUGUGUGUAUAUUGUGUGUGUGUGUUUAGGUGUGUGUGUGUAUUGUAUGUGUGUGUGUUUAGGUUGUGUGUAUUGCAUGUAUGUGUGUAUAUUGUAUGUGUGUGUUUAGGUGUGUGUGUAUUGCAUGUGUGUGUGUUUAGGUGUGUGUGUAUUGUAUGUGUGUGUGUUUAGGUGUGUGUGUAUUGCAUGUGUGUGUGUGUAUUGUAUGCGUGUGUGUUUAGGUACGUGUGUGUGUAUUGAAUGUGUAUGUUGUAUGUGUGUGUAUUGCAUGUGUGUGUGUUUAGGUGUGUGUGUGUUGUAUGUGUGUGUGUGGAUUUGUGCCUAUGUACGUGUAUGUGAGUAUGUGCCUAUGUAUGUUGCGCAGGUUCAUGUGUAUGGGUGUUGGGGGGGGUCUCGGGGGUGGGCGCUCAGGGCGAUGAAUGUGUUCCUAAGAGGUGAGUCCAGGACCUUUAACUUUCGCUUCUCCCAGGGGUGGGUGCAUGAGAUGGGAAGAGAGUUUCCCUUCUCAGGCCCCCAGAGCUCUUCUUUGCCUCCCUCUUCUCUAUCCCCA
ensembl:lincRNA